rnacentral:snoRNA from 1 species
GGCUACCCUUAUCAAAGUUCAAGCUGCUUCCCCAUAGUUGCUGUGGUCAAAAAGGAGACCAGAGUAACAGCUUUCCUUGAUGGUCACCAUUCUGUUCACUGUAACUGGUCUGCAAUUUUAGGAAAAUGCAGUU